rnacentral:rRNA from 1 species
CGGAGGGAUCAUUACACAAUAAAAUACGAAGGCCGUUCGCGGCUGGACUAUUUAUUACCCUUGUCUUUUGCGCACUUGUUGUUUCCUGGGCGGGUUCGCUCGCCACCAGGACCACAAUAUAAACCUUUUUUAUGCAGUUGCAAUCAGCGUCAGUAUAACAAAUGUAAAUCAUUUACAACUUUCAACAACGGAUCUCUUGGUUCUGGCAUCGAUGAAGAACGCAGCGAAAUGCGAUACGUAGUGUGAAUUGCAGAAUUCAGUGAAUCAUCGAAUCUUUGAACGCACAUUGCGCCCUUUGGUAUUCCAAAGGGCAUGCCUGUUCGAGCGUCAUUUGUACCCUCAAGCUUUGCUUGGUGUUGGGCGUUUUUGUCUUUGGCCCGCCAAAGACUCGCCUUAAAAUGAUUGGCAGCCGGCCUACUGGUUUCGCAGCGCAGCACAUUUUUGCGCUUGCAAUCAGCAAAAGAGGACGGCAAUCCAUCAAGACUCCUUCUCACGUUUGACCUCGGAUCAGGUAGGGAUGCCUCGCUGAACUUAAGCAUAUCAAUAAGCGGAGGAA